rnacentral:rRNA from 1 species
UACGUAGUGGGCUAGCGUUGUCCGGAAUCAUUGGGCGUAAAGAGCGCGUAGGCGGCCAGAUAAGUCCGGUGUGAAAGUCAAAGGCUCAACCUUUGAAUGCCGCUGGAAACUGUCUGGCUAGAGUCCGGGAGGGGCGAGUGGAAUUCCUGGUGUAGCGGUGAAAUGCGCAGAUAUCAGGAGGAACACCAAUGGCGAAGGCAGCUCGCUGGAACGGUACUGACGCUGAGGCGCGAAAGCGUGGGGAGCGAACAGG